GACGAACGCUGGCGGCGUGCUUAACACAUGCAAGUCGAACGGAAAGGCCCUGCUUUUGUGGGGUGCUCGAGUGGCGAACGGGUGAGUAACACGUGAGUAACCUGCCCUUGACUUUGGGAUAACUUCAGGAAACUGGGGCUAAUGCCGGAUAGGAGCUCCUGCUGCAUGGUGGGGGUUGGAAAGUUUCGGCGGUUGGGGAUGGACUCGCGGCUUAUCAGCUUGUUGGUGGGGUAGUGGCUUACCUAGGCUUUGACGGGUAGCCGGCCUGAGAGGGUGACCGGCCACAUUGGGACUGAGAUACGGCCCAGACUCCUACGGGAGGCAGCAGUGGGGAAUAUUGCACAAUGGGCGGAAGCCUGAUGCAGCAACGCCGCGUGCGGGAUGACGGCCUUCGGGUUGUAAACCGCUUUCGCCUGUGACGAAGCGUGAGUGACGGUAAUGGGUAAAGAAGCACCGGCUAACUACGUG
rnacentral:rRNA from 1 species